UCUCUGGUAGUAUAGUGGUGAGUAUCCGCGCCUGUCACGUGCGAGACCGGGGUUCGAUUCCCCGCCAGAGAG
rfam:Strongyloides venezuelensis genome assembly, scaffold: SVE_scaffold0000004